rnacentral:pre_miRNA from 1 species
ACUUGCAUUGCUGGGCAACUUCUCCUUUGGCAGAUGCGCAAUGUGCUCCGACCCUGGGGCUUCUUCCGCGCCUACUGCCAAAGGAAAUUUGCCCCGGAAUUCACCU